rnacentral:rRNA from 1 species
AACGAACGCUGGCGGCAGGCCUAACACAUGCAAGUCGAGCGCCCCGCAAGGGGAGCGGCGCACGGGUGAGUAACACGUAGGUAACCUGCCCCCCAGUCUGGAACAACUAGAGGAAACUCUAGCUUAUGCCGGAUGAGACCACGAUCCCUUCGGGGGUUGCGGCCAAAGAUGGCCUCUACUUGUAAGCUAUCGCUGAGGGAUGGGCCUGCGGGCCAUUAGCUUGUUGGUGAGGUAACGGCUCACCAAGGCUGUGAUGGCUAGCUGGUCUGAGAGGAUGACCAGCCACACUGGGACUGAGACACGGCCCAGACUCCUACGGGAGGCAGCAGUGGGGAAUAUUGCGCAAUGGGCGAAAGCCUGACGCAGCGACGCCGCGUGGGUGAU